rnacentral:rRNA from 1 species
UACGGAAGGUGCAAGCGUUAUCCGGAUUCACUGGGUUUAAAGGGUGCGUAGGCGGGCAGGUAAGUCAGUGGUGAAAUCUUUGGGCUUAACCCGAAAACUGCCAUUGAUACUAUCUGUCUUGAAUAUUGUGGAGGUGAGCGGAAUAUGUCAUGUAGCGGUGAAAUGCUUAGAUAUGACAUAGAACACCCAUUGCGAAGGCAGCUCACUACGCAUGAUAUUGACGCUGAUGCACGAAAGCGUGGGGAUCAAACAGG